GUCUACUACCAUACCACCCUGAAUGCGCCCAAUCUCAUCUGAUCUCGGAAGCUAAGCAGGAUCGGGCCUGGUUAGUACUUGGAUGGGAGAAUAUGAAUAAAAACAUAUUGUCUGAUGUGCAUU
ensembl:rRNA 5S_rRNA 5S ribosomal RNA